rfam:Hordeum vulgare subsp. vulgare, WGS project CAJW01000000 data, contig: morex_contig_160475
GAUAUACUCCCUCCGUCCGAAAAUACUUGUCCUAAAAAUAAAUAUAUUGGAUGUAUCUAUAACUAAAAUAAGUCUAGAUUCAUCCAUUCCUAGGACAAGUAUUUCCGGACGGAGGGAGUACUAU